rnacentral:tRNA from 2 species
GUCCCCGUAGCUCAGUUGGAUAGAGCGACCGCCUCCUAAGCGGUAGGCCGGAGGUUCAAAUCCUCUCGAGGACGCCA